AUGGCCGCCUACAAACUGGUGCUGAUCCGGCACGGCGAGAGCACAUGGAACCUGGAGAACCGCUUCAGCGGCUGGUACGACGCCGACCUGAGCCCAGCAGGCCACGAGGAGGCGAAGCGCGGCGGGCAGGCGCUGCGAGAUGCUGGCUAUGAGUUUGACAUCUGCUUCACCUCAGUACAGAAGAGAGUGAUCCGGACCCUCUGGACAGUGCUAGAUGCCAUUGAUCAGAUGUGGCUGCCAGUGGUGAGGACUUGGCGCCUCAAUGAGCGGCACUAUGGGGGUCUAACCGGUCUCAAUAAAGCAGAAACUGCUGCAAAGCAUGGUGAGGCCCAGGUGAAGAUCUGGAGGCGCUCCUAUGAUGUCCCACCACCUCCGAUGGAGCCCGACCACCCUUUCUACAGCAACAUCAGUAAGGAUCGCAGGUAUGCAGACCUCACAGAAGAUCAGCUACCACCCUUGAGAGUCUGAAGAACACUAUUGCCAGAGCUCUGCCCUUCUGGAAUGAAGAAAUAGUUCCCCAGAUCAAGGAGGGGAAACGUGUACUGAUUGCAGCCCAUGGCAACAGCCUCCGGGGCAUUGUCAAGCAUCUGGAGGGUCUCUCUGAAGAGGCUAUCAUGGAGCUGAACCUGCUGACUGGUAUUCCCAUUGUCUAUGAAUUGGACAAGAACUUGAAGCCUAUCAAGCCCAUGCAGUUCCUGGGGGAUGAAGAGACGGUGCGCAAAGCCAUGGAAGCUGUGGCCGCCCAGGGCAAGGCCAAGAAGUGAAGGCCAGCCGGGAGGAUACUGUCCCCAGGAGCACCCUCCCUGCCUGUCUUGUCCCUCUGCCCCUCCCACCCGCACAUGUCACACUGACCACAUCUGUAGACAUCUU